rnacentral:lncRNA from 1 species
CCUGACCUCAGGUGUUCCACCCGCCUCUGCCUCCCAAAGUGUUGAGAUUACAGGCGAGAGCCACCGCGCCCGGCAUGGGCAUAGGCUCUUAUUUGCAUCAUAUUUACAUCUGUCUUGCAUGUGAGUUAUUUCCCUCCACCCAACUUUCUCAGUUACUCUCAGACUCUAGAGUGUUCGCCAGCCUUGGAGCGUACCCGUUCCUCCAGCCAUUCUUCGGCCUCAGUUCCUUUCCAUCAUUCGCCCUCAGGCCUUCGCCUACCCCAGCUUCAAAGAAGCGACCGUAACCUCCUAGCUGGCUGGGUUCGAGAAGCCGGGGACCUGCGCCUCCUGGUGGCUGAUCGGAAGGAGGCUGAGUGCAGAGGGGUUGUCUUGCCUUCUCUGGGACGUGGAGUUUUGGAAACUGUUCCCCUGAGCUUCCUGAAGCUAAAUUUGCCUCCCCCGGCCUUGGGGGGCGCAGAGAUCCCGGCGGCGAUUAGCGCUGCGCGGCAGCCGGCUCCAACCCAGAGGCCCGGAAUAGGCGCGGAGUUAUAAAUAGUGCCACCCGCAGGUGUUGGGGGGAGUCGGCGGGAGGGGGGUACCCCUGGCGGCCACGGCCCCUUCAGGUUCUGCAAGCAUCUAACUUCUAUGCUUCUACCCUUCGGCGCACGUGGCCCGGCCAGUCCGCGCACCUGGCCGUCAUUCCGAGUCGCUGUCCCCAGCCCCAG